rnacentral:rRNA from 1 species
GUGAAGCUGAAUCGAGAGGGUCAGUGGAGCGCAGGGAAGUGAGGAUGUUGGCAUAAGUAACGAAAAUGCGAGCGAGAAACUCGCACGCCGAAAGCCCAAGGUUUCCCGGGCCAUGUUAUUCAGCCCGGGGUUAGUCGGCACCUAAGACGAGGCCGAAAGGCGUAGUCGAUGGCAAACCGGUUCAUAUUCCGGUACUUGCACGUGCGCGUGAUGGAGGGACGCAGGAGGAUAGACCGUCCGGGUGAUGGAUAUCCCGGUUCAAGGCAUUAGGCGGAAGUUCCAGGCAAAUCCGGGACUUCAUUCAACGCCGAGAGCUGAUGACGAGAGGCUUUGCUUCGCAAAGCGGUCGAUUCCACACUGCCAAGAAAAGCUUCUAAGCAUAGCACAGGCAAACCGUACCCCAAACCGACACAGGUGGGCGGGUAGAGAAUACCAAGGCGCUUGAGGGAAAUCAUGUUAAGGAACUCUGCAAAAUAACUCCGUAACUUCGGAAGAAGGAGUGCCUGCAGUGGUGAAGGGACUUGCUCCCUGAGCUGCUUCGGGCCGCAGUGACCAGGCCCAGCCGACUGUUUAGCAAAAACACAGCACUCUGCUAAAUCGCAAGAUGAUGUAUAGGGUGUGACGCCUGCCCGGUGCCGGAAGGUUAAGGGGAGGGGUUAGGUCUUCGGACCAAAGCUCCAAACUGAAGCCCCGGUAAACGGCGGCCGUAACUAUAACGGUCCUAAGGUAGCGAAAUUCCUUGUCGGGUAAGUUCCGACCUGCACGAAUGGCGUAACGAUCUGGGCGCUGUCUCAAUGUGAUUCUCAGUGAAAUUGAAAUGGCGGUGAAGAUACCGUCAACCCGCGGCAAGACGGAAAGACCCCGUGCACCUUUACUGCAGCUUGGCAGUGAACUUGGGAAAGAUUUGUGUAGGAUAGGUGGGAGGCUAUGAAGGGGGGGCGCUAGUCCCUCUGGAGCCAUCCUUGAAAUACCACCCUGAUUUUUUCUGUGUUCUAACCUCGUUCCGUGAUCCGGGACAGGGACCCUGUCUGGUGGGCAGUUUGACUGGGGCGGUCGCCUCCUAAAGAGUAACGGAGGCGCGCAAUGGUUCCCUCAG